UCGAACGGUAACAGGAGAGAGCUUGCUCUCUUGCUGACGAGUGGCGCACGGGUGAGUAAUAUAUAGAUAAUGUGCCUCUUAGUCUGGGAUAGCCAUUGGAAACGAUGAUUAAUACCGGAUACUCCUUCUUAUCAAAAGAUAAGUUGGGAAAGUUUUUCGCUAAGAGAUCGGUCUAUAUCCCAUCAGUUAGUUGGUAGUGUAAGAGACUACCAAGACGAUGACGGGUAGCGGGUUUGAGAGGAUGAUCCGCCACACUGGUACUGAGACACGGACCAGACUCCUACGGGAGGCAGCAGUGAGGAAUAUUGCACAAUGGGGGAAACUCUGAUGCAGCAACGCCGCGUGGAGGAUGACGCAUUUCGGUGUGUAAACUCCUUUUAUAGGUCAAGAAAAUGACGGUAGCCUAUGAAUAAGCACCGGCUAACUCCGUGCCAGCAGCCGCGGUAAUACGGAGGGUGCAAGCGUUAUUCGGAAUCACUGGGCGUAAAGGACGCGUAGGCGGGUUGGUAAGUCAGUGUGAAAUCCUACAGCUUAACUGU
rnacentral:rRNA from 1 species